rnacentral:rRNA from 1 species
GUGACUGCGUACCUUUUGUAUAAUGGGUCAGCGACUUAUAUUCUGUAGCAAGGUUAACCGAAUAGGGGAGCCGGAGGGAAACCGAGUCUUAAUUGGGCGUUAAGUUGCAGGGUAUAGACCCGAAACCCGGUGAUCUAGCCAUGGGCAGGUUGAAGGUUGGGUAACACUAACUGGAGGACCGAACCGACUAAUGUUGAAAAAUUAGCGGAUGACCUGUGGCUGGGGGUGAAAGGCCAAUCAAACCGGGAGAUAGCUGGUUCUCCCCGAAAGCUAUUUAGGUAGCGCCUCGUGAAUUCAUCUCCGGGGGUAGAGCACUGUUUCGGCUAGGGGGCCAUCCCGGCUUACCAACCCGAUGCAAACUGCGAAUACCGGAGAAUGUUAUCACGGGAGACACACGGCGGGUGCUAACGUCCGUCGUGAAGAGGGAAACAACCCAGACCGCCAGCUAAGGUCCCAAAGUCAUGGUUAAGUGGGAAACGAUGUGGGAAGGCCCAGACAGCCAGGAUGUUGGCUUAGAAGCAGCCAUCAUUUAAAGAAAGCGUAAUAGCUCACUGGUCGAGUCGGCCUGCGCGGAAGAUGUAACGGGGCUAAACCAUGCACCGAAGCUGCGGCAGCGACGCUGAUGCGUUGUUGGGUAGGGGAGCGUUCUGUAAGCCUGCGAAGGUGGCCUGUGAGGGUUGCUGGAGGUAUCAGAAGUGCGAAUGCUGACAUAAGUAACGAUAAAGCGGGUGAAAAGCCCGCUCGCCGGAAGACCAAGGGUUCCUGUCCAACGUUAAUCGGGGCAGGGUGAGUCGACCCCUAAGGCGAGGCCGAAAGGCGUAGUCGAUGGGAAACGGGUUAAUAUUCCCGUACUUGGUGUUACUGCGAAGGGGGGACGGAGAAGGCUAUGUUGGCCGGGCGACGGUUGUCCCGGUUUAAGCGUGUAGGUGUGUGUUCCAGGUAAAUCCGGUUCACUUUAACACUGAGGCGUGAUGACGAGGCACUACGGUGCUGAAGCAACAAAUGCCCUGCUUCCAGGAAAAGCCUCUAAGCAUCAGGUAACAUCAAAUCGUACCCCAAACCGACACAGGUGGUCAGGUAGAGAAUACCAAGGCGCUUGAGAGAACUCGGGUGAAGGAACUAGGCAAAAUGGUGCCGUAACUUCGGGAGAAGGCACGCUGACACGUAGGUGAAGUGAUUUACUCAUGGAGCUGAAGUCAGUCGAAGAUACCAGCUGGCUGCAACUGUUUAUUAAAAACACAGCACUGUGCAAACACGAAAGUGGACGUAUACGGUGUGACGCCUGCCCGGUGCCGGAAGGUUAAUUGAUGGGGUCAGCGCAAGCGAAGCUCCUGAUCGAAGCCCCGGUAAACGGCGGCCGUAACUAUAACGGUCCUAAGGUAGCGAAAUUCCUUGUCGGGUAAGUUCCGACCUGCACGAAUGGCGUAAUGAUGGCCAGGCUGUCUCCACCCGAGACUCAGUGAAAUUGAACUCGCUGUGAAGAUGCAGUGUACCCGCGGCAAGACGGAAAGACCCCGUGAACCUUUACUAUAGCUUGACACUGAACAUUGAGCCUUGAUGUGUAGGAUAGGUGGGAGGCUUUGAAGUGUGGACGCCAGUCUGCAUGGAGCCGACCUUGAAAUACCACCCUUUAAUGUUUGAUGUUCUAACGUGGACCCGUGAUCCGGGUUGCGGACAGUGUCUGGUGGGUAGUUUGACUGGGGCGGUCUCCUCCUAAAGAGUAACGGAGGAGCACGAAGGUUGGCUAAUCCUGGUCGGACAUCAGGAGGUUAGUGCAAUGGCAUAAGCCAGCUUGACUGCGAGCGUGACGGCGCGAGCAGGUGCGAAAGCAGGUCAUAGUGAUCCGGUGGUUCUGAAUGGAAGGGCCAUCGCUCAACGGAUAAAAGGUACUCCGGGGAUAACAGGCUGAUACCGCCCAAGAGUUCAUAUCGACGGCGGUGUUUGGCACCUCGAUGUCGGCUCAUCACAUCCUGGGGCUGAAGUAGGUCCCAAGGGUAUGGCUGUUCGCCAUUUAAAGUGGUACGCGAGCUGGGUUUAGAACGUCGUGAGACAGUUCGGUCCCUAUCUGCCGUGGGCGCUGGAGAACUGAGGGGGGCUGCUCCUAGUACGAGAGGACCGGAGUGGACGCAUCACUGGUGUUCGGGUUGUCAUGCCAAUGGCACUGCCCGGUAGCUAAAUGCGGAAGAGAUAAGUGCUGAAAGCAUCUAAGCACGAAACUUGCCCCGAGAUGAGUUCUCCCUGAGACUUUAGGUCUCCUGAAGGAACGUUGAAGACGACGACGUUGAUAGGCCGGGUGUGUAAGCGCAGCGAUGCGUUGAGCUAACCGGUACUAAUGAACCGUGAGGCUUAACCUUACAACGCCGAAG